GUUUUCUUUUUUUUUUUUUUUUUUUUUUUUUUUUUUUUUUAAAAGUUUAUUUUUCUGUUUAUUAUUUUAUUUGAAUAAAUUUUUUUUAAUUUAGUUUAUUUUACUGUUAAGGAUUAUUUUUAAAUUUUUUGAAGAUGAAUUUUUUUUUGUACCUUUUGUAUCAGGGUUAAUUAAUUUUUUUGAUUUAUUUUUUUUUCCCGAAUCUUUUGGGGAUCUAAAUAUUUUUGAAUUUUGUAGUUUAAUAUACAAUUGUAAAUUUUAUUUAGUUUUGAAAUGAAAGUCGUUCAAUGUUAUAUCUGGUUGCUUGAGAAUUUAAUUUAAUUAAGGAUGUCUGUUUUUGAUUUUUUUUUUUUUGAUUUCUAAUUUUUAGGGGGAUAAGCUCUUAAAUUUAUUAUAAUUUUUCUUUUAUUUAUUUAUUUGUAGGAUUAGUAUUUUUCAACAUUUUAAUUUUUUAAAAAAUUGUUUUUUUUUUGUUUUUUUAUUUAAUUAUUUAUUAGGCUUUAUUACUAAAUUUUUUUUAUUUUAACAAUGAUUAAAUUAGUAAAAUUAAAACUUUUUUUUAUGAACUCGGCAAAUUUUGUUUUCGCCUGUUUAUCAAAAACAUGUCUUCUAGUUUUUUUUGGGGGUCUGGCCUGCUCAAUGAUAAUUUUAAAUAGCCGCAGUAUUUUAACUGUGCAAAGGUAGCAUAAUAAUUAGUCUUUUAAUUGAGGUCUGGAAUGAAUGGUUAGACGGAAAAUAUACUUUAUUAAUGAGAUUUUUUUGAAUUUAUUUUUUAAGUUAAAAUUCUUAAAUUUUUUAGAGGGACGAUAAGACCCUAUAGAUCUUUAAAAUAAUAUUUUUUUUUUUUUUUUUGUUGUUUUAAUUUAAAAUUUUUUUUAUUUUUUGGUUGGGGUGACUAGCAAAAAUUUAAACUUUGUUUUUUUUUUACAUUUAUUUAUGUUUUUUUGGAUCCUUUAUUUAGAUUAAAAGAUAAAGAUACCUUAGGGAUAACAGCGUUAUUUAUUUGGAGAGUUCUUAUCGAUAAAUAAGUUUGCGACCUCGAUGUUGGAUUAAUUUUUGUUUGUGGGGUAGGUUUUACAAAACUAGGUCUGUUCGACCUUUAAAAAUUUACAUGAUCUGAGUUCAGACCGGCGUGAGCCAGGUUGGUUUCUAUCUUCUUAUUUUUUUUUCUGAUUAGUACGAAAGGACUUU
rnacentral:rRNA from 1 species